CCUACGGGAGGCAGCAGUGGGGAAUUUUGGACAAUGGGCGCAAGCCUGAUCCAGCAAUGCCGCGUGAGUGAAGAAGGCCUUCGGGUUGUAAAGCUCUUUUGUCAGGGAAGAAACGGUGUUUUCUAAUACAGAAUGCUAAUGACGGUACCUGAAGAAUAAGCACCGGCUAACUACGUGCCAGCAGCCGCGGUAAUACGUAGGGCGCAAGCGUUAAUCGGAAUUACUGGGCGUAAAGCGUGCGCAGGCGGUUUUGUAAGUCUGUCGUGAAAUCCCCGGGCUCAACCUGGGAAUGGCGAUGGAGACUGCAAGGCUAGAGUUUGGCAGAGGGGGGUAGAAUUCCACGUGUAGCAGUGAAAUGCGUAGAUAUGUGGAGGAACACCGAUGGCGAAGGCAGCCCCCUGGGUCAAGACUGACGCUCAUGCACGAAAGCGUGGGGAGCAAACAGGAUUAGAUACCCAGGUAGUCCACACCCUAAACGAUGUCUACUAGUUGUCGGGUCUUAAUUGACUUGGUAACGCAGCUAACGCGUGAAGUAGACCGCCUGGGGGAGGACGGUCGUCGAGAGUUAAACUAAGUUAAGAAGUUAGAGGCGNGNGAGNGCGAGGACGACGACGAGGGAGGAGG
rnacentral:rRNA from 1 species